GGCAGUGUAGCCAAGUGGUUACGGCGUCACGUUUAGGCCAUGUGCACAAACCGUGAUGGGUUUCCCGCGCGAGUUCGAAUCUCGUCACUGUCA